AACACUAUAUUUUCAAGGAUCAUAUCUAUAUUGUUAAACUAGAGAGAAGUACUCCAAAGUGAUUGGCCGAGCAAACCAGGAGGUAGAGUCAAACUGCUCUCUUCUGAACCUGAAGUGAGUGGGUAGGUAGUGCUGCAUUUAUGCAGCAGCUACUUACUAUUGUUGACCAUUCUGUCUUCUUUUUAUAAUUAAAUUGGAGGGAGACAACACCAAUUGACAGAU